UAAAUCAGUAGAGGCGCGCUGCCUAAGAGUAACCGAGCGGAGGGUGAUACCGACGAGGCCGGAGAAAGGAGUCAGCGCCGAAGUGGCAGUUGUUAUCAAACACUGCUGCUGGGUCUGUGUCGAAUAGGUACAGAACUGCCAUAGUGUUUUUUCCUAUGGAGCGCUACCUGAGGG
rnacentral:ncRNA from 1 species